ensembl:snRNA U6 U6 spliceosomal RNA
AUGCUCACUUUGGCAGCACAUAUACUAAAACUGGAACAAUACAGAGAAGACUAGCAUGGCUCCUGAGCAAGGAUGACAUGCAAGUUUGUGAAGCUUCCAUAUUUCU